rnacentral:rRNA from 1 species
CCUACGGGUGGCUGCAGUGGGGAAUAUUGGACAAUGGGCGAAAGCCUGAUCCAGCCAUGCCGCGUGUGUGAAGAAGGCCUUCGGGUUGUAAAGCACUUUCAGUGGGGAAGAAAGCCUUGGGGCUAAUACCCUCGAGGAAGGACAUCACCCACAGAAGAAGCACCGGCUAACUCCGUGCCAGCAGCCGCGGUAAUACGGAGGGUGCGAGCGUUAAUCGGAAUUACUGGGCGUAAAGCGCGCGUAGGCGGUCUUAUAAGCCGGUUGUGAAAGCCCCGGGCUCAACCUGGGAACGGCAUCCGGAACUGUCAGGCUAGAGUGCAGGAGAGGAAGGUAGAAUUCCCGGUGUAGCGGUGAAAUGCGUAGAGAUCGGGAGGAAUACCAGUGGCGAAGGCGGCCUUCUGGACUGACACUGACGCUGAGGUGCGAAAGCGUGGGUAGCAAACAGGAUUAGAUACCCUAGUAGUC